AAGGGAGGAACGCCUGCACACUAGUUUACAUGCUCCAAACACACUUUUAUUAUAUCAAGGCAACAGAUAUAUAUAACAACAACAGCAGAUAUAAUAAAAGUGUGUUUGGAGCAUGUAAACUAGUUUGGGGGGGCGUUCCUCCCUUU